rnacentral:rRNA from 1 species
CAGAGGGGGCAAGCGUUAUUCGGAAUUAUUGGGCGUAAAGGGCGGCGUAGGCGGCUUUGCAAGUGACGGGUGAAAUCCCUCGGCUUAACCGAGGAACUGCCUGUCAGACUGCAUGGCUUGAGACCAGGAGAGGUGAGUGGAAUUCCCAGUGUAGCGGUGAAAUGCGUAGAUAUUGGGAGGAACACCAGUGGCGAAGGCGGCUCACUGGACUGGUACUGACGCUGAGGCGCGAAAGCGUGGGGAGCAAACAGGAUUAGAUACCCUGGUAGUCCACGCCGUAAACGAUGAGUGCUUGGUGUAGCGGGUAUCGACCCCUGCUGUGCCGAAGUCAACACAUUAAGCACUCCGCCUGGGGAGUACGGUCGCAAGACUG